rnacentral:rRNA from 1 species
AGUGAACGCUGGCGGUAGGCCUAACACAUGCAAGCCGAACGGCAGCACAGUAAGAGCUUGCUCUUACGGGUGGCGAGUGGCGGACGGGUGAGGAAUACAUCGGAAUCUACUUUUUCGUGGGGGAUAACGUAGGGAAACUUACGCUAAUACCGCAUACGACCUACGGGUGAAAGCAGGGGAUCUUCGGACCUUGCGCGAUUGAAUGGGCCGAUGUCGGAUUAGCCAGUUGGCGGGGUAAAGGCCCACCAAGGCGACGAUCCGUAGCUGGUCUGAGAGGAUGAUCAGCCACACUGGAACUGAGACACGGUCCAGACUCCUACGGGAGGCAGCAGUGGGGAAUAUUGGACAAUGGGCGCAAGCCUGAUCCAGCCAUACCGCGUGGGUGAAGAAGGCCUUCGGGUUGUAAAGCCCUUUUGUUGGGAAAGAAAAGCAGCAGGUUAAUACCCCGCUGUUCUGACGGUACCCAAAGAAUAAGCACCGGCUAACUUCGUG